GGAAGCUUCUAGUAUGAGUGUUAUAGAGAGGUGGAAGCUUCUCGUAUGAGUGCUAUAGAGAGGUGGAAGCUUCUAGUAUGAGUGCUAUAGAGAGGUGGAAGCUUCUCGUAUGAGUGCUAUAGAGAGGUGGAAGCUUCUCGUAUGAGUGCUAUAGAGAGGUGGGAGCUUCUAGUAUGAGUGCUAUAGAGAGGUGGGAGCUUCUAGUAUGAGUGCUAUAGAGAGGUGGGAGCUUCUCGUAUGAGUGCUAUAGAGAGGUGGAAGCUUCUCGUAUGAGUGCUAUAGAGGGAUAAGCACAGGCUCCGAUAUAUACAUUACAAACAAAGGGACUGUUAGUAUUCACUCUUGAUAAACUGCUAAUAAUCCCAAUGUCUUUGUUUUGC